rnacentral:rRNA from 1 species
CAAUAAGCGGAGGAAAAGAAACCAACAGGGAUUGCCCUUMGUAACGGCGAAGUGAAGCGGCAACAGCUCAAAUUUGAAAUCUGGCGUCUUUGGCGUCCGAAGUUGUAAUUUGCAGAGGGCGCUUUGGCAUUGGCAGCGGUCCAAGUUCCUUGGAACAGGACGUCACAGAGGGUGAGAAUCCCGUACGUGGUCGCUAGCCUUUACCGUGUAAAGCCCCUUCGACGAGUCGAGUUGUUUGGGAAUGCAGCUCUAAAUGGGAGGUAAAUUUCUUCUAAAGCUAAAUACUGGCCAGAGACCGAUAGCGCACAAGUAGAGUGAUCGAAAGAUGAAAAGCACUUUGGAAAGAGAGUUAAAAAGCACGUGAAAUUGUUGAAAGGGAAGCGCUUGCAGCCAGACUUGCCUGUAGUUGCUCAUCCGGGUUUUUACCCGGUGCACUCUUCUAUAGGCAGGCCAGCAUCAGUUUGGGCGGUUGGAUAAAGGUCUCUGUCACGUACCUCCUCUCGGGGAGAACUUAUAGGGGAGACGUAAUGCAACCAGCCUGGACUGAGGUCCGCGCAUCUGCUAGGAUGCUGGCGUAAUGGCUGUAAGCGGCCCGUCUUGAAACACGGACCAAGGAGUCUAACAUCUAUGCGAGUGUUUGGGUGUCAAGCCCGAGCGCGUAAUGAAAGUGAACGGAGGUGGGAACCUUUCGGGGUGCACCAUCGACCGAUCCUGAUGUCUUCGGAUGGAUUUGAGUAAGAGCAUAGCUGUUGGGACCCGAAAGAUGGUGAACUAUGCUUGAAUAGGGUGAAGCCAGAGGAAACUCUGGUGGAGGCUCGCAGCGGUUUCUGACGUGCAAAUCGAUCGUCAAAUUUGGGCAUAGGGGCGAAAGACUAAUCGAACUAUCUAGUAGCUGGUCUGC